UCAGCUCAGUGGCAGAGCAUCUGCUUUCCAUGCAGGAAGUUCCAGGUUCAAUCCCUAGCAUAUCAA